rnacentral:rRNA from 1 species
GGGAUAACCGGGAGAAAUCCCGACUAAUACCGCAUACGUUCUCCGGGGGCAUCCCCGGAGGAUGAAAGAUUUAUCGGUGAAGGAUGGGCAUGCGUGAUAUUAGGUAGUUGGCGGGGCAACGGCCCACCAAGCCCACGAUAUCUAGGGGUUCUGAGAGGAAGGUCCCCCACAUUGGUACUGAGACACGGACCAAACUCCUACGGGAGGCAGCAGUGAGGAAUAUUGGUCAAUGGACGAGAGUCUGAACCAGCCAAGUCGCGUGAAGGAAGACGGAUCUAUGGUUUGUAAACUUCUUUAGUGCGGGAACAAAGCGGCGUCGUGACGCCGGAUGAGUGUACCGCAAGAAUAAGCAUCGGCUAACUCCGUGCCAGCAGCCGCGGUAGUACGGAGGAUGCGAGCGUUAUCCGGAUUUAUUGGGUUUAAAGGGAGCGCAGGCUGCGAGGCAAGUCAGCGGUCAAAUGUCGGGGCUCAACCCCGGCCUGCCGUUGAAACUGUCCUGCUAGAGUUCGAGUGAGGUAUGCGGAAUGCGUUGUGUAGCGGUGAAAUGCAUAGAUAUGACGCAGAACUCCGAUUGCGAAGGCAGCAUACCAACUCGCGACUGACGCUGAGGCUCGAAAGCGUGGGUAUCGAACAGGAUUAGAUACCCUGGUAGUCCACGCAGUAA